rnacentral:rRNA from 1 species
UACGUAGGUGGCGAGCGUUAUCCGGAUUUAUUGGGUUUAAAGGGUGCGUAGGCUGUGAGGUAAGUCAGCGGUGAAAUGCCCCCGCUCAACGGGGUGAAGUGCCAUUGAUACUGCCUUGCUGGAAUGCGGAUGCCGUGGGAGGAAUGUGUGGUGUAGCGGUGAAAUGCAUAGAUAUCACACAGAACACCGAUUGCGAAGGCAGCAUACCGGCGCUCAACUGACGCUGAGGCACGAAAGCGUGGGGAUCGAACAGG